UCCGGUUUAACACCGGCGGUCUCCAUAGAGUGCCCAACUAAAUGAUGGCAACUAGGGAUAAGGGUUGCGCUCGUUAAGGGACUUAACCCGACAUCUCACGAUACGAGCUGACGACAGCCAUGCAGCACCUAAACUACCAGCCCCCGAAGGGGAAAUCCUAUCUCUAGGACUGUCUGAUAUUGUCUAACCCAGGUAAGGUUCUUCGCGUUGCAUCGAAUUAAACCACAUGCUCCACCGCUUGUGCGGGCCCCCGUCAAUUCCUUUGAGUUUUAACCUUGCGGCCGUACUUCCCAGGCGGGGUACUUAAUGCGUUAGCUUCGGCACUGCAGGGGUCAAUUCCCGCAACACCUAGUACCCAUCGUUUACGGCGUGGACUAC
rnacentral:misc_RNA from 1 species